rnacentral:rRNA from 1 species
UACAGAGGGGGCAAGCGUUGUUCGGAAUUACUGGGCGUAAAGGGCGCGUAGGCGGCCUUCUAAGUCGAACGUGAAAUCCCCGGGCUCAACCCGGGAACUGCGUCCGAUACUGGAAGGCUUGAAUCCGGGAGAGGGAUGCGGAAUUCCAGGUGUAGCGGUGAAAUGCGUAGAUAUCGGGAAGAACACCCGUGGCGAAGGCGGCACUCUGGGACGGUACUGACGCUGAGACGCGAAAGCGUGGGGAGCGAACAGG